CGGCGGAACUGCGGACGA
rnacentral:rRNA from 1 species